rnacentral:lncRNA from 1 species
AGGGGCUAUGCCAUUGCCAGCAGCAGUGACGAUCGGAUGAAUGAGCCUCCAACCUCUCUUGGGCUUGUGCCUCACCAGAUCCGGGGAUUUCUUUCACGGUUUGAUAAUGUCCUUCCCGUCAGCCUGGCAUUUGACAAAUGUACAGCUUGUUCUUCCAAAGUUCUUGAUCAAUAUGAACGAGAAGGAUUUAACUUCCUAGCCAAGGUGUUUAAUUCUUCACAUUCCUUCUUAGAAGACUUGACUGGUCUUACAUUGCUGCAUCAAGAAACCCAAGCUGCUGAGCACUAAGAAGAUUUUCUUACAUUGAUACCUACUGUGACAAAACACACAUCCAAUGACAGUGUUAAAAUGUCAUAAAUGAGCCUUUAAAAGAAUGAGGCACAUGAUACAUCAUGGUACUUGAGCAGACUGCAAGCCUGACCAGACUGAAUUCAUGAAUUCCUGACUUUUGACUUCUUCCUGUAAGAUGCUACCCCACUGCCAGGGACUCAACCUCUAAAUCCAGUCAAGGGGCUACUUGGGCCUGGAACCAAGGCACAGUCAAGGUGAACCAGCUAUGCUCCAGGGGGAGGUGGUUGAAAUCACUGGUCUCCUGGACUGGGCCAUGAGUGAUGGUUAUUGGGGCUGGGGAGGUAUGAGAGACAUCGUGUUGUCCAUCUACCUCUGUGUAUCUUCAAAGGUCUCUGUAAUAAAAAGUUUUCUGAAAUUUA